rnacentral:rRNA from 1 species
AGGUGCCCGUACCGCAAACCGACACAGGUAGGUAGGAAGAAGAUUCUAAGGCCAACGGGAGAAGGGUUGUUAAGGAACUCGGCAAAUUGACCCCGUAACUUCGGGAGAAGGGGUGCUCCAGAGAUGGAGCCGCAGAGAAUCGGCCCAAGCAACUGUUUACCAAAAACACAGGUUUGUGCUAAAUCGAAAGAUGACGUAUACGAGCUGACGCCUGCCCGGUGCUGGAAGGUUAAGAGGAGAUGUGCAAGCAUUGAAUCGAAGCCCCAGUGAACGGCGGCCGUAACUAUAACGGUCCUAAGGUAGCGAAAUUCCUUGUCAGGUAAGUUCUGACCCGCAUGAAAGGCGUAAUGAUUUGGGCACUGUCUCAACAGCCCGCCCGGCGAAAUUGUAGUACCGGUGAAGAUGCCGGUUACCCGCGACAAGACGGAAAGACCCCAUGGAGCUUUACUGUAGCCUAAUAUUGGGUUUCGAUGUUGCAUGCACAGGAUAGAUGGGACUCUGGGAAGUGAUCGCUUUGGCGGUCAUGGAGAGGACGUUGGGAUACCAUCCUUGCGAUAUUGGAAUUCUAACCUGCGGCUCUGAAUCGAGUCGGGGGACAUUGUUAGGUGGGCAGUUUGACUGGGGCGGUCGCCUCCUAAAGAGUAACGGAGGCGUUCAAAGGUUCGCUCAGCUUGAACGGAAAUCAAGCAAAAGAGUGCAAACGCAGAAGCGAGCCUAACUGCGAGACUGACGGGUCGAGCAGUAACGAAAGUUGGAGUUAGUGAUCCGGUGGUAUGUGAGUGGAAAUGCCAUCGCUCAACGGAUAAAAGUUACCCUGGGGAUAACAGGCUGAUCUCCCCCAAGAGUCCACAUCGACGGGGAGGUUUGGCACCUCGAUGUCGGCUCAUCGCAUCCUGGGGCUGUAUUCGGUCCCAAGGGUUUGGCUGUUCGCCAAUUAAAGCGGUACGCGAGCUGGGUUCAGAACGUCGUGAGACAGUUCGGUCCCUAUCUGUCGUGGGCGCAGGAUAUUUGAUGGGAGCUGUCCCUAGUACGAGAGGACCGGGACGGACGUACCUCUGGCGCACCAGUUGUUCCGCCAGGAGCAUAGCUGGGCAACUACGUACGGAUCGGAUAAACGCUGAAAGCAUCUAAGCGUGAAGCCGACCCAAAGAUAAGAUAUCCCACUGAUUUGAUCAGGUAAGAUCCCUUGAAGACUACAAGGUUGAUAGGCACGAUGUGUAAGUGGAGCGAUCCAUUCAGCAAGUGUGUACUAAUAGAUCGAGGGCUUGACCAC